rnacentral:rRNA from 1 species
UAGGCGACCGGCGCACGGGUGGAGUAACACGUAUCCAACCUGCCGAUAACUCGGGGAGUAGCCUUUCGAAAGAAAGAUUAAUAUCCGAUAGCAUAUUGAGAUCGCAUGAUUUUGAUAUUAAAGAAAUUUCGGUUAUCGAUGGGGAUGCGUUCCAUUAGUUUGUUGGCGGGGUAACGGCCCACCAAGACUACGAUGGAUAGGGGUUCUGAGAGGAAGGUCCCCCACAUUGGAACUGAGACACGGUCCAA